rnacentral:tRNA from 4 species
CGGAAUGUAGCGCAGCCUGGUAGCGCACCUGCUUCGGGAGCAGGGGGCCGGAGGUUCGAAUCCUCUCAUUCCGACCA